UACGUAGGGUGCAAGCGUUAAUCGGAAUUACUGGGCGUAAAGCGUGCGUAGACGGUUACAUAAGUCGGGUGUGAAAGCCCCGGGCUCAACCUGGGAAUUGCAUUCGAGACUGCGUAGCUAGGGUGCGGAAGAGGGAAGCGGAAUUUCCGGUGUAGCGGUGAAAUGCGUAGAUAUCGGAAGGAACACCAGUGGCGAAAGCGGCUUCCUGGUCCAGCACCGACGUCAGGCACGAAAGCGUGGGGGAGCAAACAGG
rnacentral:rRNA from 1 species